UAGCAGUGAGGAAUAUUGGUCAAUAGCCUAACGGCUGAACCAGCAACUUGGAGGAAUGUAUUGUAUAGCAAUUAUAUUGUACAAUAUCGACUAUGUCGUGUGUAGUUCUAGGUAGAGUUAUGAUUAUGACAUUUUCUAUCUAUGUGUCUUGACCAAAUCACGUGCCAGCAGUCGCGGUAAUACGUGGAAGACUAGUGUUAUUCAUCUUUAAUAGGUUUAAAGGGUACCUAGACGGUAUAUUCAGCCCAGUUUAUAUAAAGGGUACUGAUAAACUAGAGUUUAAUGGGAGGGGGGUGGUACUGGUGGUGUAGAGAUGAAAUUCUGUCAUACCAUCAUGAACAGGCGACGGCGAAAGCAACCCCUUAUGUAAUAACUGACGUUGAAGGACGAAGGCUCGUACACAAACAGGAUUAGUUACCCUAGUAGUCUAAGCAGACAAUGAUGAAUGUCAUAGAUUAGAUAUUUCUUCUAUAAAUGAAAGUGUAAGCAUUCCACCUCAAGAGUAAUUUGGCAACAUAGGAACUGAAAUCAUUAGACCGUUUCUGAAACCAGUAGUGAAGUAUGUUGUUUAAUUUGAUAAUACGCAAAAAACCUUACCACAAUUUGAAUUACAAGCGUUGCACGGCUGUCUUUAGUUAAUGUCGUGAGAUUUUGGUUAACUCCAUUAAAUUAACGUAAACCCUUACUUUAUUUAUUUAUAAAGUAGUUCGCCGCUAUAUUGGUUAAGAUAGAAGGGACUAAGACAAGUCAACAUGACCUUUACAUUGUGGGC
rnacentral:rRNA from 1 species